AGAACGAACGCUGGCGGCAGGCUUAACACAUGCAAGUCGAGCGCCCCGCAAGGGGAGCGGCAGACGGGUGAGUAACGCGUGGGAAUCUACCCAUCCCUACGGAACAACUCCGGGAAACUGGAGCUAAUACCGUAUACGCCCUUCGGGGGAAAGAUUUAUCGGGGAUGGAUGAGCCCGCGUUGGAUUAGCUAGUUGGUGGGGUAAUGGCCUACCAAGGCGACGAUCCAUAGCUGGUCUGAGAGGAUGAUCAGCCACACUGGGACUGAGACACGGCCCAGACUCCUACGGGAGGCAGCAGUGGGGAAUAUUGGACAAUGGGCGAAAGCCUGAUCCAGCCAUGCCGCGUGAGUGAUGAAGGCCUUAGGGUUGNAAAGCUCUUUNACCGGUGAAGAUAUUGACGGUA
rnacentral:rRNA from 1 species